CGGUGAGUCUUGUGCGUAUGCGCAGUACCCGGAUGAAGCUGGUCGCCAUCUUUACUCCAUCCCAGCGCUGCCGGUGGGGCGGAACAGCACUCAUCGACCCAGUUGGUUUGAAGGAGCCACAGACAGGGCUGGUACAUCACCACUGUCUUUUGCACUAACGAUCUGUCACUUUGAUUAGCCCUUUUGCUACGCUACCUGCAUCUUGAUACACAAUGGGAGAGCGAGAGGAUCUAGUUUAUCAGGCGAAACUCGCCGAGCAGGCAGAGCGAUAUGACGAGAUGGUGGAGUCUAUGAAGAAGGUGGCAGACAUGGACGUGGAGCUCACAGUGGAGGAGAGGAACCUACUAUCAGUGGCCUACAAGAAUGUGAUUGGAGCUCGGAGAGCCUCCUGGAGGAUAAUCAGCAGUAUCGAACAGAGGGAAGAGAACAAGGGCGGAGAAGAGAAACUGAAGAUGAUCCGGGAAUACAGGCAAAAGGUGGAGAAGGAGCUGAAGAACAUCUGUAAUGAAAUUCUGGAAGCACUUGAAAGGCACCUACUGCCCUCUGCUAAGAUAGGAGAGUCGAAGGUCUUCUACAACAAAAUGAAGGGUGACUACCACAGGUACCUGGCAGAGUUUGCCACUGGCAACGACAGAAAGGAGGCAGCAGAGAACAGUCUGGUGGCCUACAAAGCUGCUACUGACCUAGCCAUGUCAGAGCUGCCACCCACACACCCCAUCCGCCUCGGGCUUGCCCUCAAUUUCUCCGUCUUCUACUAUGAGAUUCUCAACUCACCUGACCGCGCUUGCAGGUUGGCAAAGGCUGCGUUUGAUGACGCCAUCGCAGAACUGGACACACUGAGUGAAGAAAGCUACAAGGACUCCACACUUAUCAUGCAGUUGUUACGUGACAACCUGACACUAUGGACUUCAGAUAUGCAGGGAGAAGCACCUCAGGAAUGAUACAGAGGGAUGUGCCGUCUUGUAAGGCGUAAAGAGCGCAGUCAUCGGCAUACAGAGUCCUAAAGGAAACAAACCUGUUCAUUUCCCAUGUUAACUGUACUUUGUGAAGAACAGAACAAAGAGGCACUGCAAGACGCUGAGGACGAGGCCCAGUGAGACUAUGCCACCAACAGCCAACAACUUGAGACCCUCACCCUACCCCCUACACUCCCUCCACCUUCAUCUCCCUCCUCCUCAACCGCCCCACCCAUCCAUCUACAAGUCACUUUCCUCUUUGUCGUCCUUUUUCCUUUUCUUCCACCUCUGUAGCUCCAAGACCCAACAGGGCCAUGGAGUUAACAAGUUAAUUUUUCUCUUCUUUUUUUUUUAUUUUUUAUAUUAGCCCUGACAUCGUUCAAGUAAAUACCACUUAAUUGAGGCAGGAAAUACAAUGUUAGAAAGGCAAAGAUAAAGAAAGCGGUCCCUGGAUUGUUUUUUUUGUUUUUUUUCUUUUGUCCUGGUACAAGCAGUUCUGAAAAUGUUAUCUUUUGGUUUCAUUAUUGUAUUUUUUUUGUUUUGUUUUUUGCUUCUUUUUUUUCCUCAAUAUUUUUAUCAGUUGCUGGAUGUAUUGAGAAUUUUUUUUUUUUUUCUUAAUGUAAUUACAGAAAUUAACUUUUAUUACUGACAAUGUUGACUAUUAGUUGUGGGAGCUAUUUUAUCUGUUUUUAAUGAAAUGUCAUGCAGAUCAUUUGACCGUUUUUAGGGGCAGUUUGGAAGAGUACAAGUGCCCUUUUUGUUAACUUAGUAGUUGAGAGGAAGUUGGCAAUAUUCGCGAUAUCCACGUGGGGCAAAGAAGUGCUUAACUUUUACACCAUAGUGAUUCUGUUGUCAUGUUCAUGUAGUUGUCUUUGGACUGUACUUUGUGCUGAAAUACUGUAACUGUGCACACAUUCUGGCUCUCUGAAGGUUUAUCUCUUGCUGGUGGUUUGAAAAAAGAAAAACAAACUUGGGAGAUCUCUAACUUGUGUAAAAGAGUAGACUUAAUUUCGCCCCAUCCUUAAAUGAAGAACAUCAGUACUUGCAUGAGUUAAAAAGAAUUAAUAUUCUAUUUUUCUUUUCUGCUGCUUCCCCCUGCUUUUUAUCGAUACUCCUCUGCCGUUCAGAGGGUGUUUUUUUUGUUUUUGUUGUUGUUGUUUUGUUUUUGUUUGUUUGUUUGUUUGUUUGUUUUCUUUUGCGGUUUCUUUUUGUGUUGCUUCAUUAUGUGUAACUUGGAGCUGAUUUGUACUACUGGAUAUCUGACUGGAGCCACAGACAGGGAAUCUGUAUUGUUCUUACUGAAACACAGCAUGGAAUUAACAUUAAACAAUCUAAAUUAAACAUUAGAAGCUGA